rnacentral:rRNA from 1 species
UACGAAGGGGGCUAGCGUUGUUCGGAAUCACUGGGCGUAAAGGGCGCGUAGGCGGCUUUGUAAGUCGGGGGUGAAAGCCUGUGGCUCAACCACAGAAUUGCCUUCGAUACUGCAUGGCUUGAGACCGGAAGAGGUUAGUGGAACUGCGAGUGUAGAGGUGAAAUUCGUAGAUAUUCGCAAGAACACCAGUGGCGAAGGCGGCUGACUGGUCCGGUUCUGACGCUGAGGCGCGAAAGCGUAGGGAGCAAACAGG